UAGAUCAUCAGAUUCUGAUAACUUGCACUGGGAGUUUUUAAAAGAGCUGAUUGAAGUGUGGCCUGGAGAAGUUUGAGAAGGCUGAAAGAAAGCUAAUAUUAUGCCAAUAUUUUAAAAAGGUCUUUUCCUGACAGUGCUGGGAAGACUGACCAAUUUUCUAACCUCCCCAUUCCUGGUGCUACACAGUAUUGCUUCAGGUGAUCAGAUGUGCAGCAUGGAAAGUCCACAGAUUCCAGCACUGGAUGAAUGAUACUGCUGCCAGGGACCUACAGUUUCCACGGGCUGAACAUCAAAAUUAAGCAUCAGGACAGCAGCCAGCUUCAUUGUAGAACUCUGCUUACAAGCUGCACUUUGGCCACUGCUGAUUUAAUAGAUUUGAAUAAGCAGAUGGUCAGGUAAGAAAAUAUUAGCAGACAUGCUUGCGUGUUUGUGUUUCACACUUCAAAGGACCUGACAAAGCCUGGUUAGCUCUUCCUUUAAAAAUCAAUUGAGCAAGAUGUAUCUCCCUGGGCUCUAUAGUAUGGAUGUUAAAUGGAUUAAGUCUAGUGUGGGUUGCACAGCUUUAUUUUUUUGCCUUGCGAGGAUCAUGUUAAAUCCGGGGUUUUAGACCUUUUGCGUUCACUCAUGUAGAUACAUGGCAGGAAAUUACACAAUUUAACCUAUGUCCUGAAAUAAAAUAUUCUUUUGUGUUCUGGUUUAGAAUCAAACACAUAAUUCUUUGUGAUUUUCCUUUUAAGUAGUAGAACAGAAGAAAGGCUAUAGGGACUCCAAAAUGCAGGAGUCAUCAAAAAGAUGUGUAAAGUUAUUAGAUAUAUUGUCACAAUUUUUGUUAAUUUAUUUUAUUUUUAUUUCAGUGAAAACAGUUUUUGUUGUUGUAAUUUGUUGAAUAUAAACACUUUCCUGAAAUUUCUGUAACCUAAACUUUGCAGCAUUGUUCCAGGGCAUAAGAAUCAGACAAUAAAACUUUGUACUAGGAUUUCAUUUUAUAGCUUAUUUUUGUACAAGGCCCCAAAGUAGGUGGUUUGAUGAAGAAAAAGAAAAGAAACUAGAGAGAAAAUUGAAACAGGCCAAACAGUUUUCAUUGGCCAAGAUGAAUAAAAAGUAUAAUGGGAACAAUCAGUAUCAGUAGUAAAAAGUAAGUUAGAUUUUUACACAUUGGUUUAGUUUUAAUAAUUUGAAAUAGUAUUAAUAGACUUAAGGUAUAUUUUUAAAUACAGACUUUUUAAUCAGAUAGUAUCCUUCCAAGUUUAUGGCAAAGAAAAGCUGUCUCUAAAAUAAGAAAAAGAAACAACUGAACAAUACAUAAGUUAAUAUAAUCUGACUCAGAUCAUCUUAUUAGAAGACUGUUUCACAUCUCUUUAACUCCAUUCAUUCUGAAGGACUUUCAAGCAUUCCUCCUCUCUGUUACUCAGGUCCUUCCAGGGCUCAGAUGUGCAAGUUUGGCACUGUUGUUGGAUUCAUUCAGAACUCCACUUCAUCAUUCCUUUGAUUAUGGAGCUAAUGUGCUGUUAUGAACAGAAAAAGAAGCCAUGCACAAAGUAAUUAUUUUGGUAUUAAAUAAAUCUGGGUCCCACAAAUUAAAUUAAAACCAAUUGUCACAUAAUCACAUACAUAAUUACUAUAAUAGCCACAUAUGUCAGAGAUUGAAAAGAAUGUGUAAGGAUAAUUUAGCUCACCUUAUUGCCAAUGUAGGUUGUCCCAGUAUACUUUCUAAUGCUUUGUCCAGCAAGUCUUAAAUAUUUCAAGCGGUGGGACUUCUAUUAUGUCUUUUGGGCAACGAGUCCACGGUCUAACACGGAGCUACUCAACAUGCGGCCUAUGGAGGGCCCGUUUGUUUGCGGCCCACAGUGUGGUUUGGGUUUACGCAGGGCUCAACAGGCAGUCUGCGGGUGAAAUCCUUUGAACAUGGCCUCUACUGGGAACAUGCUCCACAAUGGCAAGUUAAUAUAAUGGUCUUGUGUUGAUAUGCGUUUAGUAGUUAAAUUCCUGGACUGUCAUUGCUUAUUAAAAGUGCUGUUAUAUGGGUGGAAAUCAGGUAAA